rnacentral:tRNA from 1 species
CGGGGCGUGGCGCAGUCCGGUUAGCGCGCUUCAAUGGGGUUGAAGAGGCCGGAGGUUCGAAUCCUCUCGCCCCGACCA